UGACAGGGAGACAGGUGGUGCAUGGCUGUCGUCAGCUCGUGUCGUGAGAUGUUGGGUUAAGUCCCGCAACGAGCGCAACCCUUAUCAUUAGUUGCUACGCAAGGGCACUCUAAUGAGACUGCCGGUGACAAACCGGAGGAAGGUGGGGAUGACGUCAAGUCCUCAUGGCCCUUAUAGGUGGGGCUACACACGUCAUACAAUGGCUGGUACAAAGGGUUGCCAACCCGCGAGGGGGAGCCAAUCCCAUAAAGCCAGUCGUAGUCCGGGUCGUAGUCUGCAACUCGACUACGUGAAGUCGGAAUCGCUAGUAAUCGUGGAUCAGAAUGUCACGGUGAAUACGUUCCCGGGUCUU
rnacentral:rRNA from 1 species